GAUGGAAUUUUGCUAAUGUGUCCAAGAAGGAAAUAUGAUUUCACAUGCAUAUUAUAUGCAAGUUUAUGAAUGCAGUCACAGUGUCUGGAACCUGGGUAGGAAACUAUGAUGAAAAUCAGUGAAGUAAAAUAUCAAAAUAAAACAUUGCAUGACAACUUCUAAUGGGGAGCAAUGCUGGCACUUUUAAUAAAACCACUUGGGAAUAUUAACGUGAUACGUAAGUGGCUGAAGGGUUCUAAAUUUCCCUGGUGAUAUUCAUACAUCACAAAGUGAAUGUUAACUGGCAAUAACUCAAGAAAUGGCGUGUUUAGCAUACCAGUGAGAUGCCGGGGUUGUGAUCACCAACGGUAAAUUAUAACGUUUUACUUUGAGUCAGAAUUCCAAAGAAGAAGAAAGGAAUUCCUCAGUGAUGUAGGAUAAUUUUAUAACUGAAGUGUCAUCAACUUUCUUGUUAAUGGGACAUGGAUGAAUCUGAAAACCAUAGUUCUCAGCA